UGGUUACGAAUAGGAUGUCCACUUAUUAACUUUUUAUUUAUUUCUUGAUUUUUUGUUGUUCUUUUAGAAGGGUCAUUCCCGUAGCCCUAUUAGGUAUUCUGAAUUAUUGUGUAAGGAAUGUAAACCCUAGUGUUAUUAUUUCGCUUCCGCAUUCAAUUUAUAAUUUAUUUCCUUUCAAGUUUUAGGUAGUUACAGUUGGUAUCAAAUCUACGUUCCUCAGAACCAUUCCUUACACAAAAACCCUAGGAAACACCAAAGAAUGAAUUAUCACUCAACCAUUCCUUGUGAAAUACAGGUACAGAUAGAUGAGGAGAGAAAGACCCUCACUAAAUCGACCAGCUCCGGAGGGUUCGCUUCGAGAGAAUGUUGACCAAUUAUUUGAAAUGCUGGAGAGACUCAUCGCUGUCCAACAGGCUCGGGAGGAAAGGAGGGAGCUACCUGACCCUCCCCCGCUACCAUAGGUUGAGCCACACCUGUAGGGAGAGGAUCCUGAGCCAUCUCGGUACGACCCUAUUCCUCCAUAGUACCAUCCGGCACCACCACAGUAUGGUCCAAUGCUUCAAUUGCAUCACCCGGCACCACCAUAAUAUAGCCCAGUGCCCUAAUUGCAUCAUCCGGCACCACCAUAAUAUAAUUCGAUGCCUCCACUGUAUCAUCCAGUACCACCACAAGGGCAUCAAGUCCAUCCCCAACAUAAUCCAGACC
rnacentral:lncRNA from 1 species